rnacentral:rRNA from 1 species
CCUACGGGAGGCAGCAGUGGGGAAUUUUGGACAAUGGGCGAAAGCCUGAUCCAGCAAUGCCGCGUGAGUGAAGAAGGCCUUCGGGUUGUAAAGCUCUUUUGUCAGGGAAGAAACGGUGGGAGCUAAUAUCUCUUGCUAAUGACGGUACCUGAAGAAUAAGCACCGGCUAACUACGUGCCAGCAGCCGCGGUAAUACGUAGGGUGCAAGCGUUAAUCGGAAUUACUGGGCGUAAAGCGUGCGCAGGCGGUUUUGUAAGUCUGAUGUGAAAUCCCCGGGCUCAACCUGGGAAUUGCAUUGGAGACUGCAAGGCUAGAAUCUGGCAGAGGGGGGUAGAAUUCCACGUGUAGCAGUGAAAUGCGUAGAUAUGUGGAGGAACACCGAUGGCGAAGGCAGCCCCCUGGGUCAAGAUUGACGCUCAUGCACGAAAGCGUGGGGAGCAAACAGGAUUAGAUACCCUGGUAGUCCACGCCCUAAACGAUGUCUACUAGUUGUCGGGUCUUAAUUGACUUGGUAACGCAGCUAACGCGUGAAGUAGACCGCCUGGGGAGUCGGUCGCAGAUUAAACGUUAAAUGAAAUUGAGG